rnacentral:lncRNA from 1 species
GGCUGGGCACAGAGCUGCAGCACUGCUGUGAAAACACCUGAGGACACUCUGGUUCCUGAUCUUUUAGCAGCCUCUCCUGCCUGCCUCAGGCACGCCUGGUGUCGAGUCCCAAGUCUCGCUGUCUCACCCUUCCUUAACCUCCUGAGGUUCUGUUAGCUUAUCUUUUUGCAUACACAUGAGUUAACUUCGUAGACACCACAGUGCAGUAAUUAAGCACACAGUCUCUGGAGCCCAGACAACCUAUUGGAACCCUGGUUUCAUCACUUACUAGCUGAAAAAGUUUGCUGACCCCUGAGCUUCAGGAUGGGGGAAGUUUUAGAGAUUUUAGGAGAAAGAAAAAGUCUCUCCUUGCUAAGGUACAACAAAAAAGGAUAUUCAUAAACCAACGGAGGCAUUCACACAACACAACAGAUGUCUGAGAGAUCCACGCAGCCAUAUGUGUGAAGGUGGGGGACCCCUCCCCAGGAGGCAAAGGAAGAAGGUAAGCAGAUCUCCUCUCCCCAGGGACAGCAAUUUAGGGCACAGGACCUAGCAUGGGAGCCAACGAACAACUCUGAAAGGAGAAGGGGGACAAAGCAGCCCUCCCUGGGAAGAAUUUUGCUCUUGGAGUUGCCUCACAGCCUGUGGGAAUGCUCCAUACUCAGGUGGCUAAGCAACCAUGGGGGCACCCUCACCAAGCCAAGAAGCCCAGGCAGGCAGCCAGUGCGUGCAGAGCAGGAGAACGAGUGGUAAAGAAGGUGCAUGCCCCUCCAUUCCACCUGGCACAACAGCUCAGCCAGUCAGCCAGGGCAGGGGAGCCCUGCCAAAGCACCUGCACCUAUAUGUGUAAAGGAACAGUGGCCAGACAAAGAGAGCAAAAGUGGCACAGCUUCCAAUGGAUGGGCACAAUGGCCAAAGCUCAUGGGGGGCUCAGAAAACACAGCUCCUGCCCCCACCUCCACAGUGGUAGCAGGUGGAAGCUGCAACCAGACACUACAACUAUGCCACAGCAAAAGUCCACUCCAUCAAACAGUAUGAGAAAUAUAUUAACAUUCUAGACCAGAAGGAAAAUGAUAAGGAUCUAGAAACCAUCCUGAAGUCACAGAAAUUUACC